rnacentral:rRNA from 1 species
CAGCAGCCACGGUAAUACGUAGGGUGCGAGCGUUAAUCGGAAUUACUGGGCGUAAAGCGUGCGCAGGCGGCUUUGCAAGACAGAUGUGAAAUCCCCGGGCUCAACCUGGGAACUGCAUUUGUGACUGCAAGGCUAGAGUGCGGCAGAGGGAGAUGGAAUUCCGCGUGUAGCAGUGAAAUGCGUAGAUAUGCGGAGGAACACCGAUGGCGAAGGCAAUCUCCUGGGCCUGCACUGACGCUCAUGCACGAAAGCGUGGGGAGCAAACAGGAUUAGAUACCCCCGUAGUCCCUGUCUCUUAUAC